GUCAAGCUGACGAGUCCCAAAUAGGACGAAAUGCGCAUUAUCCUGGAU
rnacentral:hammerhead_ribozyme from 1 species